rnacentral:rRNA from 1 species
GAUGAACGCUGGCGGCGUGCCUAAUACAUGCAAGUCGAGCGAACAGACGAGGAGCUUGCUCCUUUGACGUUAGCGGCGGACGGGUGAGUAACACGUGGGUAACCUACCUAUAAGACUGGGAUAACUUCGGGAAACCGGAGCUAAUACCGGAUAAUAUUUCGAACCGCAUGGUUCGAUAGUGAAAGAUGGCUUUGCUAUCACUUAUAGAUGGACCUGCGCCGUAUUUGCUAGUUGGUAAGGUAACGGCUUACCAAGGCAACGAUACGUAGCCGACCUGAGAGGGUGAUCGGCCACACUGGAACUGAGACACGGUCCAGACUCCUACGGGAGGCAGCAGUAGGGAAUCUUCCGCAAUGGGCGAAAGCCUGACGGAGCAACGCCGCGUGAGUGAUGAAGGUCUUCGGAUCGUAAAACUCUGUUAUUAGGGAAGAACAAACGUGUAAGUAACUGUGCACGUCUUGACGGUACCUAAUCAGAAAGCCACGGCUAACUACGUG